UCAUUAUUGCGCCCACCUGCAGAAUCACCGAGGAAAGCUCACUCUGUUGCGGCGGCUGAUUCUCUCUCCGCCAAAAGGAAGGCCAUGGCGUGCCCCACUCCGGUCAAAUUGAGCGCCGCCUCGUCCUCGUGGAUCGCCGGCCAGCAGUCGGUCAAGGAGCAGCCUGGAUCGGCGGCGCGUUUCCCCACCCGCCGAGUCCCCGUCGUCCGCGCCGGAUCCUAAUUCCUACACCUCAUUAAAACGGCUGGUGUCAGGGGUUAGACUGGCUGGCUUCUCAAUCGGCUGAGUAUUAUAAACAAGGCGCUCAUUUUGCGAAAUGGAGAACCGUUGUGAGCAUUCCUUGCUGUCCAUCGGCCCUGCCUGUUAAAGAAGCCGCUUGGGGUCUUGCAAGUUAUGCUGCAACUUAUCAGGUUUAUUGUCUAUCGAUAUGUGAAAGAAAAGAACACUCGUUAAUCGAUAACCAAAAAAUGGUUUCUUCCGGAUAAUGGUCUUUUUCCGAUCAUUGAACCCGAGAUUCUUCUAGACUGCGACCACCGGAGACCAUCGCAGAGUACACGCUCACGGUGUCCAAACGAAGAGAGCCGACGGUGAAAGGCGAAGAAAAGAAUAGUUUUUUUUUUUUUUUUUUUAUAAUAUAGAAAUUUGCUGACGCUACUCGUUACCGAACUUAAUACCCUAAAGACUAAAUCAGAAGUUGAUAUGCCUCUGAUUUUUUUUUACUGCUAUAUAGGGUUCAUGUAUAAAUAUUAAAUUUACUAUCAAA